rnacentral:lncRNA from 1 species
AUUAUUAUAAAUACUCAUCGUAUAUUUCAUGGACACAAUAUCAAUCAAAAUCAAGUCAAUUAUGCAUUUUUAUCCCUUUAUCUUUAUUUUUGUGCAUUUCUUAAUUUAGUAUCUCAAGCAACUCACAAACACCUUAGUUAACACUUUUGUAGUAGUCAAGAGAUUCUUAAUUGAGGGACAAAGUUCUUUCAUCUAUAUAAUCACUUGUAGAAAAAGAAUCACAAUUGAGAGCUAUUCGUCCAUACCUCAAUUAAAUAUAUAGUUCAACAAUAUAUUUGACACAUC